rnacentral:lncRNA from 1 species
CUCCUGGUGGCUGCCACCAACAUUGGUAUUGUAUGGUUCUAGAAUUGAUCUUCUGCUCCCAAUAGAUAGGAUAAAAAUUUCCCACUGCUGACGCGGUAAGAGAACCUUAAUUAUGAUUCUCUAAAUCAGUCAUUAAGAGAACCAUAAUUAUUAUGGUUCUAUUGUCACGUCAGCAAAGAAAAGUACUGUCCAUAAAAACAUGAGAUUAAGCCUAUGUGUGUGUGUGUGUGUGUGUGUAUAUAUAUAUAUAUAUAUAUAUUCUAAUUUUUUCUUUUGGAUGUCUGAACGUUCCAGAGACAAGCAUCAUGGUGGCAGCGGUAACCGUAUGCGAUUAUCCGAGCCAACAUCUAGCACUAUGUCUGGAUUUGUGUCGAUGAAGUUUGUCGUUUUUAUGAAAGUAGCAUCAGUGGGAGCUGCGGUGGUCUGCAAUGCUAUUGCAGGAGAUUUUGUUGAAGUAUUCGUGUUUUCGGUGGAGAUGACUUAUUAAUCUCUUUGAAUAAAAAUUUGAAAAGGUGAGAUGUUGAUGGUUAAGUCUCUUUCAUGCUUAGAAAAGCAUGCAAAUAGAUAAUCAACCACUUGUUAUUUGAAUUAUUUACUUACAUUCAGUAUUGUUUGAAAUAAAACAAAUUAGAUGACACUCUUUAUUGACCAUAUCUCUUGAUCUUCAUCUUUACUUCUUUGAUUUGUAUAAGAAGCAUUAUGCUGCACCUCGUCUCCCC